rnacentral:rRNA from 1 species
GACGAACGCUGGCGGCGUGCUUAACACAUGCAGGUCGAACGGAAAGGCCCUGCUUUUGUGGGGUGCUCGAGUGGCGAACGGGUGAGUAACACGUGAGUAACCUGCCCUUGACUUUGGGAUAACUUCAGGAAACUGGGGCUAAUACCGGAUAGGAGCUCCUGCUGCAUGGUGGGGGUUGGAAAGUUUCGGCGGUUGGGGAUGGACUCGCGGCUUAUCAGCUUGUUGGUGGGGUAGUGGCUUACCAAGGCUUUGACGGGUAGCCGGCCUGAGAGGGUGACCGGCCACAUUGGGACUGAGAUACGGCCCAGACUCCUACGGGAGGCAGCAGUGGGGAAUAUUGCACAAUGGGCGGAAGCCUGAUGCAGCAACGCCGCGUGCGGGGUGACGGCCUUCGGGUUGUAAACCGCUUUCGCCUGUGACGAAGCGUGAGUGACGGUAAUGGGUAAAGAAGCACCGGCUAACUACGUG